rnacentral:misc_RNA from 1 species
UUUCCGUAGGUGAACCUGCGGAAGGAUCAUUCAUAAUAAGUGUUUUAUGGCACUUUUUUAAAUCCAUAUCCACCUUGUGUGCAAUGUCAGGGUUGAUUUUUCUCUCGAGAGGAUCAACCCCAAACAUCAACUAUAUCUCAACUCUUUGUCUGAAAAAUAUUAUGAAUAAAACGAUUCAAAAUACAACUUUCAACAACGGAUCUCUUGGCUCUC